rnacentral:rRNA from 1 species
AAUGAACGUUGGCGGCGUGGAUUAGGCAUGCAAGUCGCGCGGACCAGCAAUGGUUAGCGGCGAAAGGGAGAGUAACGCGUGGGUUAUCUGCCUCUUGGGCCAGGAUAGCUGCGGGAAACUGCAGGUAAUACUGGAUAAUGUCUUCGGACCAAAGGUGUGAUUCCGCCGGGAGAUGAGCCCGCGUCCUAUUAGCUAGUUGGUGAGGUAAUGGCUCACCAAGGCUUAGAUGGGUAGGGGGUGUGAGAGCACGACCCCCCUCACUGGGACUGAGACACUGCCCAGACACCUACGGGUGGCAG